rnacentral:rRNA from 1 species
AAUUCGAUUAGUUUGAUCAUGGCUCAGGAUGAACGCUAGCGGCGGGCCUAAUACAUGCAAGUCGAGCGGUUUGUUUACAGACGAGCGGCGCACGGGUGCGUAACGCGUAUGCAACCUGCCCUUCACUGUGGGAUAGCCCUGCGAAAGCGGGAUUAAUACCACAUGGUUCACAGUUGUCACCUGGCAUAUGUGAUAAAGAUUUAUCGGUGAGGGAUGGGCAUGCGUGCCAUUAGCUAGUUGGUGAGGUAACGGCUCACCAAGGCUACGAUGGCUAGGGGGCCUGAGAGGGUGGUCCCCCACACUGGUACUGAGACACGGACCAGACUCCUACGGGAGGCAGCAGUAGGGAAUAUUGGUCAAUGGGCGCAAGCCUGAACCAGCCACGCCGCGUGCGGGAGGAAGGCCCUAUGGGUCGUAAACCGCUUUUGACGGGGAAGAACGGCUUUAGUUUUUAGAGUGUGACGGUACCCGCAGAAUAAGGAUCGGCUAACUCCGUGCCAGCAGCCGCGGUAAUACGGAGGAUCCGAGCGUUGUCCGGAUUUAUUGGGUUUAAAGGGUGCGUAGGCUGACUUUUAAGUCGGCGGUGAAAGCGCGGCGCUCAACGUCGCAACUGCCGCCGAUACUGGGGGUCUUGAGUGCGGAUGAGGUGGGCGGAAUGUGCAGUGUAGCGGUGAAAUGCUCAGGUAUUGCACAGAACGCCGAUUGCGAAGGCAGCUCACCAAGGCGCAACUGACGCUGAGGCACGAAAGCGUGGGGAUCAAACAGGAUUAGAUACC